AUACUUACCUGGCAAGGGAGCUUACCGUGAUCAAAAAGGCUGUUUCCCCGUGGCGAGGCUCAGCCAUUGCACUGUGGCUGUGCUGAGCCCUGCGAAUUCCCAAUGCGGAAAUCUCGAUUGCAUAAUUUAUGUAGUGGGGGAACCUUGCGUUUCGCGCCUCUCCCCU